rnacentral:rRNA from 1 species
GGCGAACGCUGGCGGCGUGCUUAACACAUGCAAGUCGAACGGAAAGGCCCUGCUUUUGUGGGGUGCUCGAGUGGCGAACGGGUGAGUAACACGUGAGUAACCUGCCCUUGACUUUGGGAUAACUUCAGGAAACUGGGGCUAAUACCGGAUAGGAGCUCCUGCUGCAUGGUGGGGGUUGGAAAGUUUCGGCGGUUGGGGAUGGACUAGCGGCUUAUCAGCUUGUUGGUGGGGGAGUGGCUUACCAAGGCUUUGACGGGUAGCCGGCCUGGGAGCGUGGCCGGCGACAUGGGGACUGCGAUACGGCCCAGACGCCUACGGGAGGCAGAAGUGGGGAAUAUUGCACAAUGGGCGGAAGCCUGAUGCAGCAACGCCGCGUUCGUGAUGACGGCCUGUGGGUUGUAAACCGCUGUCGCCUGUGACGAAGCUUGAGUGACGGUAAUGGGUAAAGAAGCACCGGCUAACUACGUG